UAUAGUGAUUAUGUUGGCCUGCAGGACGACCUAGAUACCUUAAGUAGAUGGUCAAUUAUACAUUUAUAAUUGACCAUCUACUUAAGGUAUUUAGGUCGUCCUGCAGGCCAACAUAAUCACUAU